rnacentral:rRNA from 1 species
GACGAACGCUGGCGGCGUGCUUAACACAUGCAAGUCGAGCGGAGCGGCGAACGGGUGAGUAACGCGUGAGUAACUUCCCCCCUCUCUGGGAUAACAGUUGGACACGGCUGCUAAUACCGGAAAGUGGGGGAUGACUCGCGUCCUAUCAGCUUGUUGGUGGGGUAGUGGCCUACCAAGGCGACGACGGGUAGCCGGCCUGCGAGGGCGAGCGGCCACAUUGGGCUGAGAUACGGCGCAAACUCGUACGGGAGGCAGCAGUGGGGAAGACUGCACAAUGGGGGAAACCCUGAUGCAGGAACGCCGCGGGCGGGAUGACGGCAUUCGGGUUGGAAACCGCUUUCAGCCAUGACGCGGUAGUGGCAGAAGAAGCACCGGCUAACUACGUGCCAGCAGCCGCGGUAAUAC